GCAAGCAACCAGUCAAUUAAUCAGUUAUGAUUAAUCUAAUUAUCUAUUGCCCUAGUGCAAAGAUGUAACUAGAAAGAAAAAAAAAGACUUGAUAGGUGGAAACCAAAGCUAAAUGGUCCAGCUGUACAACAUGUAGCAAUGACGACAUUUAAACGCUAAAGAAGUGAGAAAUGUUAAAUGUUUUUUCUUGCAGAUCUCGGUUCCCUCUGGUCACGAGAGCAGGCCCUGCCAAUGUCACGGUUCACUAAAGAAACUAUUAGAGGAAUAUCCAAAAAAAUUCCCAGCCUCUCCAAGUGCAAUUAAAUCAAACUGAAAUGGGAAAACCUUAACCCCCACUUAGCUUUGCAGCACUGGAAUGUGAUGUGACAUUUCAAUUAUUUGCUCUUUGGCAGUGAGAUAGAACACUGCAUGCAUUACUUCUAUUUGCCUCUAAAUGUCAUUUAAUAAGCGCCCGAUACGCUCACCACACACAAGUCAUUUUCACUGCAGCAACUACACACAUAUGUGAUAAAGGCUUCUGUCCUAGUUCUGACUUCAAGAAAUGUAAAGUAAUGAACUAAUGCUACAAGUCCCCAGGGCAGUCCAAAAACAUGUAGUCCUCACCACUUGGAUGCCACCACGAAACGCCUCUGGGCAGUAAUUUUGAAGAAUUAUCUCAUUCUAAUUUCAGUUGUCAGCAGGACGUAUAAACUGCGCACACAGAAUCACCAGCCAUGUGUUAAUAAAAAGCUUUCUUCCCUUGCCCCCAACAAGUUUUACUUCUAUCAACAUUUUUGCUGUUGCAGAACUCUCCCACAGUUUGAAUUGUGGAAUGCUUUGAGUGCCAUCAUCUUUAAUAACCAUUACGUCUCUCGGCUAAAAGGAGGAGCUCUUGCUUAAGACUGCUGCCUCCAUGACCCAGACAAGUGGUGGAUGGAUGUAUUGCACUGCACCAUUGCAUAUUGCUGCCAAGUGUUAUGACCUACUUUCACCAAAACAGCUCCAUAGUACCUCUGCUACAAACCUGGGCCCUGGGUGGUAUCAGAUUGAGCGUUUUUAACAGUGAAAAUCACCUCCUCAGUAAGUAAGCCAGCACUUCUGCUAAGUCAACGUCCUCCUCUGAUGAAGACUGCCUGUCCGUCCUGCGGCCUCGGCUGCUGCUGCCGCCCUGGUUUGAUUCUGUCGCUUCAGACUGCUCUCCUGGGUUGCCACUGGAAGAGCCCCUUCCACCAGACAUCCCAGAACUGGACUGUGAGCCCAUAGA